AGAUGGUAUGUUCCUCACUAACCAUAAAGAGUUGGUAUGUGAUUUUAGACCAUCAGAAAUUAUAUUGGACUUUUUCACCCAGAUCUAUUUGAAAUAAGAGUUUGACUAUUCUUAUUUCUAUUUAUUAGUAUCUGGUUUUGCAAGUCCAUACAAAU